ensembl:lncRNA
GUGAGAUACAUUUCUCUAAGUGCAUCUUGUGGCUGCAAGUGGGAGAGGCAGGGCCUGAAUCUGGCCAAGAGAUCUCAGGACAAAGCUAAAUCGCAUUUCCAAAGCCAGUCCUUAGACUUGUUCAAGUGUAAGCAGCUUUCACUAAACAGAAGUUUGAUGAGCCGAGCAGGAGUGAAUCAGAAACACGAGGCUGAUGUUUGUCUUCAUCUGCAAGGGGGUUUGGCAGUCUCCAGGCUCCCUUGGCAAGCAGGAUUUGGGCGCUGCCAAAACCUGGAGCUCUGGCGUGAUAGCGUGACCCUUCCGGUCAGGCCAGGCCUCCCGCCCGCCUUCCUGCUGUUCAAAUCAGAGUCUCGGCCUCUCAUGGCCUCUCCUGCUGCUUCACCCUUGAGCCCCGAGGACAGAGUGGCAGGAGGCGUCUCUGUAACCACAUCACGUGUGGGGGAAAAAUGGCACAGAGCGCUCUUUCCUGGAGCGCGGUCAAUGCAGCAGUACCCCAGGUGCCAGGAAACCCAAGCCUUGGAAACUGUGGCUGCAGGUUCCAUCCCCAGGUUGUGGCUUCUCAGAACUUUUCCUCUUUUGAUGAGACUGCCCCAAAUCUGGAGCAGGACUGGAAUAGAUUCAAGGUCAUCGGUUAGAAGAGCAUUUUCUUGGGUGUUUUGUGGGACUGCUGUGCUGCGGGAGGAACUCAAAGGAUGCUGUUUUAAGUGCGUUUGCCCUGAAAGUGCCAGAACACAGGCUCCAUGACUGCAGAGAUCUCAUCUGUUUUUAUUCACAUCCCUGGAGUCCAGCACUGUGUCUGGCUCAAGAUAAGUGGC